CAGUAGCCACGGUAAUACGGAGGGAGCUAGCGUUGUUCGGAAUUACUGGGCGUAAAGCGCGCGUAGGCGGUUACUCAAGUCAGAGGUGAAAGCCCGGGGCUCAACCCCGGAACUGCCUUUGAAACUAGGUGACUAGAAUCUUGGAGAGGUCAGUGGAAUUCCGAGUGUAGAGGUGAAAUUCGUAGAUAUUCGGAAGAACACCAGUGGCGAAGGCGACUGACUGGACAAGUAUUGACGCUGAGGUGCGAAAGCGUGGGGAGCAAACAGGAUUAGAUACCCCUGUAGUCCCUGUCUCUUAUAC
rnacentral:rRNA from 1 species